GCUGGGUGUGGUGGCUCAUGCCUGUAGUCCCAGCUACUCGGGAGGCUGAGGCAGGAGAAUCGCUUGAACCCGGGAGGCGGAGGUUGCAGUGAGCUGAGAUUGUGCCACUGCACUCCAGCCUGGGUGACACAGCAAGAUCCUGUCUCAA
rnacentral:SRP_RNA from 1 species